rnacentral:tmRNA from 1 species
GGGGAUGAUUUGGCUUCGACAAGAGUAGCUGAGUCUAGCCGCAUGCAGCUUUUGGCAUAGCUUAUAAAGCCUAAAUUAAAUUAAACGCAAACAACGCUAAUUUUGCUCCUGCUUACGCUAAAGCUGCGUAAGUUCAGUUGAGCCCUGUUUUGCUAGCUUGUCGCUAGGCUGGCAUUUUGGGUCAUUUAUAGCGACUAAGGAUUUAGCUAGACGCACUAAACCACGAAAAUUUUGUCUUAGUUCUCGCAUCAGCCUUGGGAAGUAGGUCGCGUGAAUGAAGCUUUACUUCUACUAAGCAUGUAGAUGGCUUUAUGAGGUUAUUUUUGGACUGCAGUUCGACCCUGCACAUCUCCACCA